UACGUAGGGUCCGAGCGUUGUCCGGAAUUAUUGGGCGUAAAGAGCUCGUAGGCGGUUUGUCGCGUCUGCUGUGAAAUCCCGAGGCUCAACCUCGGGUCUGCAGUGGGUACGGGCAGACUGGAGUGCGGUAGGGGGAGAAUGGAAUUCCCGGUGUAGAGGUGAAAUUCGUAGAUAUCGGGAGGAACACCAGUGGCGAAGGCGGCGAUCUGGGAAGAUACUGACGCUGAGGUACGAAAAGCGUGGGGGAGCAAACAGG
rnacentral:rRNA from 1 species